CAGUCGCCGCGGUAACACGGAGGGGGCUAGCGUUGUUCGGAAUUACUGGGCGUAAAGCGCACGUAGGCGGCUUGGUAAGUUAGAGGUGAAAGCCUGGAGCUCAACUCCAGAAUUGCCUUUAAGACUGCCGAGCUAGCAGGUGAGAGAGGUAAGUGGAAUUCCGAGUGUAGAGGUGAAAUUCGUAGAUAUUCGGAAGAACACCAGUGGCGAAGGCGGCUUACUGGCUCAUACUGGACGCUGAGGUGCGAAAGCGUGGGGAGCAAACAGGAUUAGAGACCCCAGUAGUCCCUGUCUCUUAUAC
rnacentral:rRNA from 1 species